CUACGGGCCGCAGCAGUGAGGAAUUUUGCGCAAUGGGGGGAACCCUGACGCAGCAACGCCGCGUGAGCGAUGAAGUCUUUCGGGUCGUAAAGCUCUGUCAAGUGGGAAGAACCUAUGCAGUGUUAAUAUCACUGUAUACUGACGGUACCACUGAAGGAAGCACCGGCUAACUCCGUGCCAGCAGCCGCGGUAAUACGGGGGGUGCAAGCGUUAUUCGGAAUCAUUGGGCGUAAAGGGCACGUAGGCGGCUUGGUAAGUCAGAUGUGAAAGCCCGGGGCUUAACGCCGGAAGUGCAUUUGAUACUGUCAGGCUUGGGUAUGGGAGAGGGAAGUGGAAUUCCUGGUGUAGAGGUGACAUUCGUAGAUAUCAGGAGGAACACCGGUGGCGAAGGCGACUUCCUGGACAAAUACUGACGCUGAGGUGCGAAGGCGUGGGUAGCAAACAGGAUUAGAUACCCCCGUAGUC
rnacentral:rRNA from 1 species